rnacentral:rRNA from 1 species
CCUACGGGUGGCAGCAGUGAGGAAUAUUGGUCAAUGGCCGGAAGGCUGACCCAGCCAAGCCGCGUGAAGGACGAAGGUGCCAAGCAUUGUAAACUUCUUUUGUCAAGGGACAAAAUCAGGCUCGAGCGCCUGACCGAGGGUACUUGAAGAAAAAGCAUCGGCUAACUCCGUGCCAGCAGCCGCGGUAAUACGGAGGAUGCGAGCGUUAUCCGGAUUUAUUGGGUGUAAAGGGUGCGUAGACGGAGAAGCAAGUUAGUUUUGAAAUCCCUCGGCUUAACUGAGGAGCUGCAACUAAAACUACUUCCCUUGAGUACUGUAGAGGAAAGUGGAAUUCCUAGUGUAGCGGUGAAAUGCGUAGAUAUUAGGAGGAACACCAGUGGCGAAGGCGACUUUCUGGACAGUAACUGACGUUGAGGCACGAAAGUGUGGGGAGCAAACAGGAUUAGAUACCCCAGUAGUC